rnacentral:lncRNA from 1 species
GGGUCUUACAAAAGAAGUGAUGCUUUUAUAACGGCAAUUAAAUUGUUGGUAAGAAAAAUUGAGCACAUCAAAUGGACCAGAGUGAUACCGUAUUUUUGAUAAUGUCCACUACGAAACGGGUCAAAUCUCCUUCAGUAUCUGGUUUUAAAAUUAUGAAAAAAAUAUCAGUGUACAGCUUGAUGAAUGCUUUGAUGAAUACAAUCAGUCUUGUUACAAUUGCAAUAUAGGGAUUGUGGGAAAAAAAUAAAGCAUGCGAAUACGUCCCUUACGAAACGGUCCCCUACGAAACAAGUAUGGAAGAAAAACGUUUCUUUUUUUUUUAAUCUUUUUUCAAUUAUAUUCGUGCAAAACAAAUAACAAGGGUUAGUUUCAUGUAAUUUUUAUUAUGUUUUUAUUAACAUAUGAUAGGGUUGAUGUCAACUACGAAACUUUUUGUCCACUACGCAACGGUUUUGUCCACUACGAAACGCAUCAAAAUGUCCACUACGUAACAUAAGUUGAACCUUCAUAUGUGAAGUACUGUCUAAUCUUUAUCGAUAAAAAUGGUUUUCCAAUUCAGAAAAAAAAUGAUAUUUUUCUAGUAUUUAAAGUAAACAAACUGGAAUGUCU